CAGCAGCCACGGUAAUACGUAGGUCCCGAGCGUUGUCCGGAUUUAUUGGGCGUAAAGCGAGCGCAGGCGGUUAGAUAAGUCUGAAGUUAAAGGCUGUGGCUUAACCAUAGUACGCUUUGGAAACUGUUUAACUUGAGUGCAAGAGGGGAGAGUGGAAUUCCAUGUGUAGCGGUGAAAUGCGUAGAUAUAUGGAGGAACACCGGUGGCGAAAGCGGCUCUCUGGCUUGUAACUGACGCUGAGGCUCGAAAGCGUGGGGAGCAAACAGGAUUAGAUACCCCCGUAGUCCCUGUCUCUUAUACA
rnacentral:rRNA from 1 species